rnacentral:rRNA from 1 species
UACGUAGGGUCCGAGCGUUGUCCGGAAUUAUUGGGCGUAAAGGGCGCGUAGGCGGCCUGUUAAGUCGAACGUGAAAUCCCCGGGCUCAACCCGGGAACUGCGUCCGAUACUGGAAGGCUUGAAUCCGGGAGAGGGAUGCGGAAUUCCAGGUGUAGCGGUGAAAUGCGUAGAUAUCUGGAGGAACACCGGUGGCGAAGGCGGCAUCCUGGACCGGCAUUGACGCUGAGGCGCGAAAGCCAGGGGAGCAAACGGG